AGUGAACGCUGGCGGUAGGCCUAACACAUGCAAGUCGAACGGCAGCACAGUAAGAGCUUGCUCUUACGGGUGGCGAGUGGCGGACGGGUGAGGAAUACAUCGGAAUCUACUUUUUCGUGGGGGAUAACGUAGGGAAACUUACGCUAAUACCGCAUACGACCUACGGGUGAAAUCAGUGGAACUUCGGACCUUGCGCGAUUGAAUGAGCCGAUGUCGGAUUAGCUAGUUGGCGGGGUAAAGGCCCACCAAGGCGACGAUCCGUAGCUGGUCUGAUAGGAUGAUCAGCCACACUGGAACUGAGCCACGGUCCAGACUCCUACGGGAGGCAGCAGUGGGGAAUAUUGGACAAUGGGCGAAAGCCUGAUCCAGCCAUACCGCGUGGGUGAAGAAGGCCUUCGGGUUGUAAAGCCCUUUUGUUGGGAAAGAAAAGCAGCAGGUUAAUACCCCGCUGUUCUGACGGUACCCAAAGAAUAAGCACCGGCUAACUUCGUG
rnacentral:rRNA from 1 species